AAACUUCGAGGAGUUCCUCUGAACAAUUCCUCAACAAUUUGAUAAGUUCCUUAAAAAGUUCCUAACUUCCUGUUUCGUUGACCAAUCAGAUUUUAUUUUUGAGCAAUCUGAUUGGCCAAUGAAAGUUAGGAACUUUUUAAGGAACUUAUCAAAUUGUUGAGGAAUUGUUCAGAGGAACUCCUCGAAGUUA
rnacentral:miRNA from 1 species